GGUCACGUUUGUUUGCGCGGAAGUGCAUAACGUCGCAAGCGGGCGAAGCUUAUUUUGGAAUGAAGAUGCCCUAAAAGAAGCCUGCCAAAAUUACUUAAGCGAGCAAGAAUCCGGUUGCGUUAUCGUGGACGACUGGGCCAAACGACUGCUCGAGCACGACAGCAGGGAAAUGUGCAUCGGAGACCUUCCGCAUCCAAUCCUCGCCUGCAUUCUGUUCAAUCUAGAUGUUGUCGAGCAGUUACAAAAGAGCCGGGUGUGCAUGCUGUGGACACUGCUUCUGAAUGGCUGCAUAAAAAACCAGCACAUCACCCUCGAUCUCCGUCCACUACGCGCUCGAGGGCCCUGUGACGUGGAAUUUACCAUUUGACACCAAGAAAGCCAAUACAAAUUCG